GACGAACGCUGGCGGCGUGCUUAACACAUGCAAGUCGAACGGAAAGGCCCUGCUUUUGUGGGGUGCUCGAGUGGCGAACGGGUGAGUAACACGUGAGUAACCUGCCCUUGACUUUGGGAUAACUUCAGGAAACUGGGGCUAAUACCGGAUAGGAGCUCCUGCUGCAUGGUGGGGGUUGGAAAGUUUCGGCGGUUGGGGAUGGACUCGCGGCUUAUCAGCUUGUUGGUGGGGUAGUGGCUUACCAAGGCUUUGACGGGUAGCCGGCCUGAGAGGGUGACCGGCCACAAUGGGACUGAGAUACGGCGCAGACUCGUACGGGAGGCAGCAGUGGGGAAUAUUGCACAAUGGGCGGAAGCCUGAUGCAGCAACGCCGCGUGCGGGAUGACGGCCUUCGGGUUGUAAACCGCUUUCGCCUGUGACGAAGCGUGAGUGACGGUAAUGGGUAAAGAAGCACCGGCUAACUACGUG
rnacentral:rRNA from 1 species